rnacentral:rRNA from 1 species
GACGAACGCUGGCGGCGUGCUUAACACAUGCAAGUCGAACGGAAAGGCCCUGCUUUUGGGGGUGCUCCGGUGGCGAACGGGGGAGGAACAACGGGGGUAUCCCCCCCUUACUUUGGGGUUACAUCAUGGAAACGGGGGUAAUAACGGAUAGGAACUUCUUCUGCCUGGUGGGGGUUUGGAAAUUUCGGCGGUUGGGGAUGGACCUGGGGGAUUCCAGGCUGUUGGGGGGGUAGUGGCCUACCAAGGCUUUGAAGGGUAGCCGGGCUGAGAGGGUGACCGGGCACAUUGGGACUGAGAUACGGCCCAGAGUCCUACGGGAGGCAGCAGUGGGGAAUAUUGCACAAUGGGCGGAAGCCUGAUGCAGGAACGCCGCGUGCGGGAUGACGGCCUUCGGUUGUAAACCGCUUUCGCCUGUGACGAAGCGUGAGUGACGGUAAUGGGUAAAGAAGCACCGGCUAACUACGUG